rnacentral:rRNA from 1 species
GACGAACGCUGGCGGCGUGCCUAAUACAUGCAAGUCGAACGCAGUGGGGACGGGUGAGUAACACGUGGGUAACCUCCCAUCAGAGGGGAUAACACUUGGAAACCGGUGCUAAACCGAUACUGAUGGAUGGACCCGCGGUGAAUUAGCUAGUUGGUGAGGUAUCGGCUCACCAAGGCCACGAGGCAUAGCCGACCUGAUAGGGUGAUCGGCCACACUGGGACUGAGACACGGCCCAGACUCCUACGGGAGGCAGCAGUAGGGAAUAUUGCACAAUGGGCGCAAGCCUGAUGCAGCCAUGCCGCGUGUAUGAAGAAGGCCCUAGGGUUGUAAAGUACUUUCAGUCGGGAGGCGUUACCGACAGAAGAAGCACCGGCUAACUCCGUGCCAGCAGCCGCGGUAAUUC